rnacentral:rRNA from 1 species
AACCCGACUCCAUGUAGCUGGAUUCGCUAGUAAUCGCGCAUCAGCCACGGCGCGGUGAAUACGUUCCCGGGCCUUGUACACACCGCCCGUCAAGCCAUGGAAGCCGGGAGUGCCUGAAGUGUGCAACCGCAAGGAGCGCCCUAAGGUAAAACCGGUGACUGGGGCUAAGUCGUAACAAGGUAAC